rnacentral:rRNA from 1 species
UGUGCCAGCAGCCGCGGUAAUACAGAGGGUGCAAGCGUUAAUCGGAAUUACUGGGCGUAAAGCGAGCGUAGGUGGCUUGAUAAGUCAGAUGUGAAAGCCCCGGGCUUAACCUGGGAACGGCAUCUGAUACUGUUAGGCUAGAGUAGGUGAGAGGAAGGUAGAAUUCCAGGUGUAGCGGUGAAAUGCGUAGAGAUCUGGAGGAAUACCGAUGGCGAAGGCAGCCUUCUGGCAUCAUACUGACACUGAGGUUCGAAAGCGUGGGUAGCAAACAGGAUUAGAUACCCUGGUAGUCCACGCCGUAAACGAUGUCUACUAGUCGUUGGGUCCCUUGAGGACUUAGUGACGCAGCUAACGCAAUAAGUAGACCGCCUGGGGAGUACGGCCGCAAGGUUAAAACUCAAAUGAAUUGACGGGGGCCCGCACAAGCAGUGGAGCAUGUGGUUUAAUUCGAUGCAACGCGAAGAACCUUACCUGGUCUUGACAUAUCUAGAAUCCUGCAGAGAUGCGGGAGUGCCUUCGGGAAUUAGAAUACAGGUGCUGCAUGGCUGUCGUCAGCUCGUGUCGUGAGAUGUUGGGUUAAGUCCCGCAACGAGCGCAACCCUUGUCCUUAGUUACCAGCGGUUUGGCCCGGGGAACUCUAAGGAUACUGCCAGUGACAAACUGGAGGAAGGCGGGGGACGACGUCAAGUCAUCAUGGGCCCUUACGACCAGGGCUACACACGUGCUACAAUGGUAGGUACAGAGGGCAGCUACACAGCGAUGUGAUGCGAAUCUCAAAAAGCCUAUCGUAGUCCAGAUUGGAGUCUGCAACUCGACUCCAUGAAGUAGGAAUCGCUAGUAAUCGCGGAUCAGAAUGCCGCGGUGAAUACGUUCCCGGGCCUUGUACACACCGCCCGUCACACCAUGGGAGUUGAUUGCACCAGAAGUGGGUAGCCUAACCUUUUAGGAUGGCGCUCACCACGGUGUGGUUGAUGACUGGGGUGAAGUCGUAACAAGGUAACCGA